UACGGAGGGUGCGAGCGUUGUCCGGAAUCACUGGGCGUAAAGGGUGCGUAGGCGGUCGGGUAAGUCUGACGUGAAAUCUCCAAGCUCAACUUGGAAAUGGCGUCGGAUACUAUUCGGCUCGAGGAGUGGAGGGGAGACUGGAAUUCUCGGUGUAGCAGUGAAAUGCGUAGAUAUCGAGAGGAACACCAGUGGCGAAGGCGAGUCUCUGGACACUUCCUGACGCUGAGGCACGAAAGCCAGGGGAGCAAACGGG
rnacentral:rRNA from 1 species